rnacentral:rRNA from 1 species
UACGUAGGGGGCAAGCGUUGUCCGGAUUUAUUGGGCGUAAAGAGCGUGUAGGCGGCUAUACAAGUCAGUUGUGAAAACUCGAGGCUCAACCUCGAGACGUCGGUUGAAACCGUAAGGCUAGAGUCCGGAAGAGGAGAGUGGAAUUCCUGGUGUAGCGGUGAAAUGCGCAGAUAUCGGGAAGAACACCCGUGGCGAAGGCGGCUCUCUGGGACGGUACUGACGCUGAGACGCGAAAGCGUGGGGAGCGAACAGG